UACAGAGGUCUCAAGCGUUGUUCGGAUUCAUUGGGCGUAAAGGGUGCGUAGGCGGCGCGGUAAGUCGGGUGUGAAAUCUCGGAGCUUAACCUGGGAACUGCAUUCGGGACUGCAUUGCUAGAGUAUGGGAGAGGGAAGUGGAAUUUCAGGUGUAGCGGUGAAAUGCGUAGAUAUCUGAAGGAACAUCAGUGGCGAAAGCGACUUCCUGGACCAAUACUGACGCUCAUGUGCGAAAGCGUGGGGAGCAAACAGG
rnacentral:rRNA from 1 species